GACGAACGCUGGCGGCGUGCCUAACACAUGCAAGUCGAACGGAAGGGCCCUGAUUUUGUGGGGCGCUCGUUUGGCGAAGGCGUGUGUAAAACACGUGUAACCCCCUCCUAUAUUUGGUAUAACUUCUCGAAACUGGGGCUAAUACCGGAUAGGAGAUCUUGCUCCAUGGUGGGGGAUGGAAAGAUUCGGCGGUUGGGGAUGGAAUAGCGGGUUAUCAGCUUGUUGGGGGUGUUGGUGCUUACCAAGGCUUUGACGGGUAGCCGGCCUUGGAGGGUGACCGGCCUCAUUGGGACUGAGGUAGGGCCCAGACGCCAACGGGAGGCAGCAGUGGAGAAUAUUGCGCAAUGGGGGGAAGCCUGAGGCAGCAACGCCGCGUGCGGGAUACCGGCCUACGGGUGGUAAACCGCUUUGUCCUGUGCCGAGGCGUGCGUGACGGUAAUGGGUAAAGAAGCACCGGCUAACUACGUG
rnacentral:rRNA from 1 species